GUGAAUAUUUGGUAUGUAGAGGAUCUGCAGGCUAGGUAAAGUGAAAAAAUAGGGAUUGAAAUCAGGAUUUUUGGUGUUUGGUCUGAUUGGAACAAGUCAAGUUAGUGAUGAAGGUGAUGUUGAGUUCAAGGCUGUUCUUUUUGUUCCUCCAAAGGCUCCUCAUGAUCUGUAUGGGAGUUACUACAAUGCUAACAAGUCCAACUUGAAGUUAUACGUCAGACGUGUCUUCAUCUCAGAUGGAUUCGAUGAUCUUCUGCCCAAGUACCUGAACUUUUUGAUGGGAAACACAUUAGGAAGUUGGUUAAAGAUGGAUUCAUCAGC